rnacentral:rRNA from 1 species
UACGAAGGGGGCUAGCGUUGCUCGGAAUCACUGGGCGUAAAGGGCGCGUAGGCGGCCAUUCAAGUCGGGGGUGAAAGCCUGUGGCUCAACCACAGAAUUGCCUUCGAUACUGUUUGGCUUGAGUAUGGUAGAGGUCAGUGGAACUGCGAGUGUAGAGGUGAAAUUCGUAGAUAUUCGCAAGAACACCAGUGGCGAAGGCGGCUGACUGGACCAUUACUGACGCUGAGGCGCGAAAGUGUGGGGAGCGAACAGG